GAUGAACGCUGGCGGCGUGCCUAAUACAUGCAAGUCGAACGGGGAGUACUUACUUCGGGUUUUUACUCCUAGUGGCGAACGGGUGAGUAACGCGUUGGUGACCUGCCCCGAAGAGGGGGAUAACUCCGCGAAAGCGGAGCUAAUACCCCAUGUGGUCGUCCAGGUUAGAGGCUGGACGUCUAAAGGAGCAAUCCACUUCGGGAGGGGCCUGCGUCCCAUCAGCUAGUUGGUAGGGUAACGGCCUACCAAGGCGAUGACGGGUAGGGGGCCUGAGAGGGUGGCCCCCACACUGGCACUGAAACACGGGCCAGACACCUACGGGUGGCAGCAGUAGGGAAUAUUGCACAAUGGGCGAAAGCCUGAUGCAGCAACGCCGCGUGCGCGAAGAAGGCCUUCGGGUUGUAAAGCUCUGUUGUUAGGGAAGAACAAGUACGAGAGUAACUGCUCGUACCUUGACGGUACCUAACCAGAAAGCCACGGCUAACUACGUG
rnacentral:rRNA from 1 species